UGGGGAAUAUUGGACAAUGGGCGCAAGCCUGAUCCAGCCAUGCCGCGUGAGUGAAGAAGGCCUUAGGGUUGUAAAGCUCUUUCACCCGCGAAGAUGAUGACGGUAGCGGGAGAAGAAGCCCCGGCUAACUCCGUGCCAGCAGCCGCGGUAAUACGGAGGGGGCAAGCGUUGUUCGGAUUUACUGGGCGUAAAGGGCGCGUAGGCGGAUGUUCUUGUCAGAGGUGAAAGCCCCGGGCUCAACCUGGGAAUUGCCUUUGAAACGGGACGUCUUGAGUUCGGAAGAGGGUAGCGGAAUUCCCAGUGUAGAGGUGAAAUUCGUAGAUAUUGGGAAGAACACCAGUAGCGAAGGCGGCUACCUGGUCCGACACUGACGCUGAGGCGCGAAAGCGUGGGGAGCAAACAGG
rnacentral:rRNA from 1 species